ACAACAACAUAUCAGGAAUGCAUGUGACAUUGUAUCUCAUAACUUCUAUGAUCAAUUGAACAGAAUUAAAGGCUCAUAAUUAACUUUUCUAUUUUAAGUUUCACUGGGACACAUUUCCAAAACAACAUGCCAGAAGCCAAGACUGGGAAGAUUAGAUGACAAUGCAGGCAUAAAGAACCCUAUCAGUCCUAAUAAAUAAUCUCGAAAUUUUUUAAAUGUCAAGAACCCCAAUAAACAAACUUCAAAGUAAGUUGUAAGAGUAUGAACUGUUAUUAAGGAUUAUCAACUAACUAGUAAGAGCAGACUAUUAAAGAUAAAAAGGAUGGAUUGCAAAAUGAGAACAAGGACAAAGCAGAAAUUUAAUCUCAUUCAAGACAGCCCUCACAACUAAGACAAGACCAAUAUUUUCCACAUGCAGAAAAUUCAGCCAAUUAACCAACACCCUUCAUCUCCAAAUGAUUCUUCAAAAUAACUUUUGGAAAACAUAUAUAAUGAUUUUUAUGGUGUGAGAAAAAUAUAUGUUUGCUCUUGCAGUUGGGCCAUGUAGAGCGGCAACUACUUUUCAAUUCAACAAACGAGGAUUUCGAGCUGUAGCACAUUGUGCAAGAUCUUGUCUCUCAAGAGUAAGAAGUGUUAUCAGUGCCUGUAUGCAUAUUUGUAUUUGCAUUUCUCACACAAUACAAAAAAUAUUUUUUUCAUGAUAAAAAAGCAUUGUGAUUUGCCCCAAUAAGAAACUAUUUUUGGAGUCAAAACUACCCAAUCAUCGUAAAUGCAUACCAUUAAA